GGGGGACGCUCGAUACAUACCUCAGUCAUCCGUCCAGGCCGCCCACUACAUGAGGUGAGGUAUGAAACAAGGCACCUCUGGGCUGAGUGGAAGUCCGUUCUUGCAAUAUUACGGGGUUGUGACUCUUGUGCUCGUGUCGGGUCUGGGGCUGCUCGCCGUGCUCGCCUGUUGGCUUAGAAGGAACUGCAGGUAGGGCUUACAUCCUUGUUGCUUGGUUCACUCUAAUAAUAUUUCAUCAUCGCUUAGUAGUAUCACAUACUUUAACUAUAUUAGGUAUUGGGAGUUAAAUCUUCUUACAAUCAUUACGAGGAUCAUUAAACUACUUGAUCACAACGUAAACAACAAUUUUAGCCAUUUAACGGUCAU